rnacentral:rRNA from 1 species
GACUCGUCACACUAUCAUUAACUGAAUCCAUAGGUUAAUGAGGCGAACCGGGGGAACUGAAACAUCUAAGUACCCCGAGGAAAAGAAAUCAACCGAGAUUCCCCCAGUAGCGGCGAGCGAACGGGGAGGAGCCCAGAGCCUGAAUCAGCAUGUGUGUUAGUGGAAGCGUCUGGAAAGGCGCGCGAUACAGGGUGACAGCCCCGUACACAAAAGCGCAUGUGCUGUGAGCUCGAUGAGUAGGGCGGGACACGUGGUAUCCUGUCUGAAUAUGGGGGGACCAUCCUCCAAGGCUAAAUACUCCUGACUGACCGAUAGUGAACCAGUACCGUGAGGGAAAGGCGAAAAGAACCCCGGCGAGGGGAGUGAAAAAGAACCUGAAACCGUGUACGUACAAGCAGUGGGAGCACCCUUUGGGGUGUGACUGCGUACCUUUUGUAUAAUGGGUCAGCGACUUAUAUUCUGUAGCAAGGUUAACCGUAUAGGGGAGCCGGAGGGAAACCGAGUCUUAAUUGGGCGUUAAGUUGCAGGGUAUAGACCCGAAACCCGGUGAUCUAGCCAUGGGCAGGUUGAAGGUUGGGUAACACUAACUGGAGGACCGAACCGACUAAUGUUGAAAAAUUAGCGGAUGACCUGUGGCUGGGGGUGAAAGGCCAAUCAAACCGGGAGAUAGCUGGUUCUCCCCGAAAGCUAUUUAGGUAGCGCCUCGUGAAUUCAUCUCCGGGGGUAGAGCACUGUUUCGGCUAGGGGGCCAUCCCGGCUUACCAACCCGAUGCAAACUGCGAAUACCGGAGAAUGUUAUCACGGGAGACACACGGCGGGUGCUAACGUCCGUCGUGAAGAGGGAAACAACCCAGACCGCCAGCUAAGGUCCCAAAGUCAUGGUUAAGUGGGAAACGAUGUGGGAAGGCCCAGACAGCCAGGAUGUUGGCUUAGAAGCAGCCAUCAUUUAAAGAAAGCGUAAUAGCUCACUGGUCGAGUCGGCCUGCGCGGAAGAUGUAACGGGGCUAAACCAUG